AAAAGACUCCUUACUAGUCAGUCUUACGACUGGUCUCACUACUCCUUACUGGACAGCAGGAAUGAUAAAAUAUGUGAGUUUUCAGGGAUGACUGUCAGGAAUAGCUGGAGAGUUCCCUGCCAGACCUGGAGGGGGUGCUGCAGGCAAAUCAAUGGAGCCUGCUUUGUUGUGUGUUUUCUCUACGUAUUUUGUGCCACACCUUCCCCAUUGUUCUCAUUUCCUGCCGUGUCACCUGUUCCCCAUUAGCCCUAAUGUCCUGCCCUAUAUAUAGGGAUCCUUUUGUACCUGUCUUCAUUGGUCAUUGUUACUUUUGUUGAUGUUUAUUGUCAUGUCUUUGUUAUCAGGUUAGUCUGCCCCAUGGCUUGUGUUGUCAGUGCUUUAUUUGAAUCCUGCGUAUGGGUCUGACUCCGCGACGUGCAAGCACUGCCGGCAACCAAGGAGCUUCGGGCUCGAGCCUCGCCUCGGGCGGGGGCCCCGGAAAUUACAAUGACGUCUGAGGUGACGGUGCUGAGGAAAAACUCCCUGAGAUGAUCUGAGGAAGAAACCUUGAGAGGAACCAGGCUCAGAAGGGAACCCAUCCUCAUUUGGGUGAGACUGGACAGGAAAUAAUGUAAAUGUAAAUAAAUAAUGUCCUUUCUACUACAUCAACCAAGAGCUCCUGAGGAACUAACAGAGGAUUAAUAGCAAGCCUAAAUAUUAUGAUACAAGUCUUGCCAGACCGGGUGCCAUCUCCCCAAAAAAUCCCCUAAAGCGCCUGACCUCAGGCUUAACCAGGAGGCAGUCCUGCAGCGCCUCCCACCAGGUUCCUGCCUCGGUUCCCUCCGAUCUGCUCCUCACAGGUCCACAUGUGCUGCAGAAACUCCACUGUGUCCACAUGCUUGGUCAUUUUUUCUGCCAGGGAUUCUCAGAGAUGAUGGAUGCAAGUGCAGAUUUUUUCUUUGGUAAAAAUAAACAACAAACCAAAAAAGAGAACAUUGAGACUAUCAAAGAUCAACUGAAGCAUGAAAAAAAUCUACAGAACCCAGGACUUGAAGCGUGGUGCAGAUGAAGGAGAAACAAGAAGAGGAGAGAGUGAUUAGUGAAACAUGUGACAAGGAAAUGUUCAGGGACUGAUGGGUAAUGAGUCUAAGCACAGACUGGACAAGACCAUGACAGACUUGAGUGUAACUGUUGUUUUCUCUCAGCGAGGUGUGCAGUGAAGCUCACAGUACAGACAGGUCAGUGAGUCUGACCGUGUGAAGCGGGUGGACAGACCAAGGAUUGGUGACUGAGUUUACUACAAUCUCUUUGACAGAUCAUUAAAAAAAAAUAGAUAUAUACGUAUUGGUACAAGGUAUGAUGUCAUGACACACAUUUUACUCACACAAAUAAGACACUCCAGUAGCCACGACCCGUUCCAGCUGAUACGACGUACGAGAUAUGACCUGAGUGUUCUGUACUGCAGCUUGAGAACUGUGGUCAGUUCCGUCAUUAAAAGUAUUUCAGCACAAAAUACAGGUUCUAAUAGAGAUGGACUUUAAUCAUCUGUUAAUCAGUUAUUCUGUCUCUCACAAAAAAUAUUUUCACAUUUUUGAUCAUCAAAAUGCUGGAUUUGCCAAAACAGAUUAAAACUGAAGUCCUGUCCCAUGUCCAAAUUGUGUCCCAGACGUGUCCCGUGUCCAAGUCCUGUCCUGUGCCCAAGUCGUGUCCCGUGUCUCAUGUCUGAUUCAUGUCUUAUGUCUAAAACAUGUCUGAGACGUUUCCCGUGUCUGAAUUGUGUCCCAUUUCCGAGUCAUGUCCUGUGUCUGAGUUGUGUCCUAUGUCUGAGACAUGUCUAAGUUGUGUCCUGUGUCAGAGUCGUGUCUCGUGUCUGAGUCCUGUCCCGUUUUUGAGCUGUGUCCCAUGUCUGAGAUGUGUCUCAUGUCUGAGUUGAGUCUCAUGUCUGUCUCUGAGAGAACUAACAAAGCAUGUCCUCAUACUCAAGUGUUGACACACAGCUACUGAUAAAUUCCACACUGAAUACAAAUGAUUUUAUUUGUUGUAUUUUUCUUAUAUUCUACAGCGACACAGCUUAACCUCCGGCACGUCCUUCACUCAGCUGAUGCAGGACUUCUACUAAUCCUGAGGAUCAUCACAGUCUCAGUGUUCCACAACAUUCAUCACUCAGAACAGAACAAGUCCAUCUCAUUUUCAGUCAUGUUCUUAUUUACUGUAACGUGACUGUGUUCACUCAUGCUAGUGUGUUUAGUAAUAUUUGUGCAAAAUAAACAAAACAAAACCUUUUUAUAUGAAUUUCUUUUUUAUUUCAGACAGCUUCUGAUGGCAUUUAUUCCAAAAAUCUCCGAAAUCAAGAACAAGAAGAGAGAGAACAUCUACAAGCAGAUUUUUAUCGUCCGUGUCCG